rnacentral:rRNA from 1 species
CCUACGGGGGGCUGCAGUGGGGAAUAUUGCACAAUGGGCGCAAGCCUGAUGCAGCGACGCCGCGUGAGGGAUGACGGCCUUCGGGUUGUAAACCUCUUUCACCAGGGGCGAAUCAAGGACGGUACCUGGAGAAGAAGCACCGGCCAACUACGUGCCAGCAGCCGCGGUAAUACGUAGGGUGCGAGCGUUGUCCGGAAUUACUGGGCGUAAAGAGCUCGUAGGCGGUUUGUCGCGUCGUUCGUGAAAACCCGAUGCUUAACAUCGGGCGUGCGGGC